CCUAGCUGAAUGAUUAAUUGGUUAAACUGUCCCUACUUUUAGGUUAUUCUUAUCUCUUUAAACCAGUCCCUCAUGGCCUCAGACACUUCCCAGCUGUGUGACCCUGGGCAAGUCACUUGACCCCCAUUGCCUAGACCACUCUUCUGCCUUGGAGCCAAUACACAGUAUUGAUUCUAAGAUGAAAGGUCAGAGUUUUUUUUUUUUUUAAUAAUAAAUAAAUAAAUAAAUAACCUAGUCCUUCAAAGAUUUAAUUAGAUUAGGAAAAGCAAGUUCCCUUGGCUUCAAAUGGACUGUUUAACUUUAUAUACAAUGUAUAUAUUUUUAUGAUUACAAGAUAUACACUGAGUAGACUAGAAGAGAUAUGUGUAUAUGUCUACACAUAUAUUAUGUAUACAUUUAUAGUAUAUAUGCUUUCUCUAAUAUACUGAAUAUUCACUUUACUCCUAGACCACUGGAGGCAUGGAGACUUUAUUCCCAUUGUACAGAUGGGAAAAGUAAAGUGGAGCAAUGAGGAAUUACUCGUCUAUGGAACUUGGAUCAGAGCUCUUCCCUAUCUCCAAGGAUCAGGAGACGCCCCAAAGGACAGAAAGGAACUGGUGUGCAUCCUUCCAAUGUCCGCUGAACUCAGGGACCACAUCUGGCCAAGCCUGCUGCACCGGAAAGGGUAAUAGACGAUGUGAAAUUUACCAGAAGCCAGCCAAAAGGAGGUGAAUUCUGUGCUCAUCAUAAUUGGGAGGGGAAAGGACCUCCGAAAGGGAGGUAGCCAAUAUGUUGCUGUAUCAUUGAGUGACUAUUCUAUGUCAGGUCCUGUCCCAGGCACUGGGAAAUAACAGAAAAAUACAAAGUGAAAAAGUCUCUGCUCUUAAAGGAACUUCUAUUCCACUGGGAAACCCCAAGAAUUUAUGCAUCUAUAUAUAGAUAUUUAUAUUUGUAGAUAUGAUAUUUAUAUGUGGGUUCUAGAAGUACAAAGUACAAGAAGAACAGGGGCUUUCAGGUGCAAAGAACCCUGGGAAGUAAAACUCCUGGGUAGAUAGGAAGUCAGGGGCUUUCCAUUCAGUGAGGCCGUGGAAAUAAGCCCCAAACACACCAGAAAGCAGAGCCUCUGGGGAAGCCAUUAACUUAGAAGCAGUAAGGCACACAGUCUUUCCCCUUAGCUUGAACCCAAUCUAUUCUUUUUUUUUAUUAUACUAUUAUACUAUAUAUAAUAAUAUAUUAUUAUACAAAGCUAUGUAUUGGCUCCAAGGCAGAAAGAGUGGUAAGGGCUAGGCAAUGGGGAUCAAGUGACUUGGCCAGGGUCACACAGCUAGGAAGUUUCUGAGGCCAGAUUUGAACCCAGGACUUCCCAUCUCUGGGUCUGGCUCUCAAUCCACUGAGCUACUCAGCUGCCCUCCUAUUCUUCUUUUUAAAUGAUCAGAUGUCCUGCCAAAAAACCACUAGGGCAAGAAUUUCAUCAGGAGUCUGACUAAGGAGUCACUCCCUGAAGUACCUUACCCAGCCGAGCAAUCAUACAUUGCCAUCUUGAUCCACUACAUAAAGAAAACUCUUGUCUUUAAUCACUGAAGUAACCUAUGUUUAUUGUCCUUACCUUGUAAAUCAUUACCUCUCAUUGUUUCUGUGUGAAUAUUCCCAAAUUUUCUUACCUACAUCAUUUACUCUAUAAAUUGUAUACCCCAACCCAAUAAACUCUACCUCCACUCUAAGAAACUGUCUGCG
ensembl:lncRNA